rnacentral:tRNA from 1 species
CGGGGCGUAGCGCAGUCUGGUAGCGCGCCUGCUUUGGGAGCAGGAUGUCGGGGGUUCAAAUCCUCUCGCCCCGA